rnacentral:rRNA from 1 species
UACGAAGGGGGCUAGCGUUGUUCGGAAUUACUGGGCGUAAAGCGCGCGCAGGUGGUCUUUCAAGUCAGUGGUGAAAGCCCGGAGCUCAACUCCGGAAAUGCCAUUGAAACUGUGAGACUUGAGGACGAGGGAGGUGAGUGGAAUUCCCAGAGUAGAGGUGAAAUUCGUAGAUAUUGGGAAGAACACCGGUGGCGAAGGCGGGUCUCUGGGCAGUAACUGACGCUGAGAAGCGAAAGCGUGGGGAGCGAACAGG